GCAGUGGUGGUUCAGUGGUCGAAUUCUCACCUUCCAUGUGGGAGACCCAGGUUUGAUUCCCAGCCAUUGUG
rnacentral:tRNA from 1 species